rnacentral:rRNA from 1 species
UACGUAGGUGGCAAGCGUUGUCCGGAUUUACUGGGCGUAAAGAGUAUGUAGGCGGACAUUUAAGUAGAAAGUGAAAGGUUGGAGCUUAACUCCAACAUUGCUUCCUAUACUGGGUGUCUUGAGUGCCGGAGAGGAAAGCGGAACGACACGUGUAGCGGUGAAAUGCGUUGAUAUGUGUCGGAACACCAAUGGCGAAGGCAGCUUUCUGGACGGAGCCGCAAGGCUUAAAACUGACGCUGAGAUACGAAAGCGUGGGUAGCGAACAGG